rnacentral:rRNA from 1 species
UUAGCCCUGAAAAUGGAUGGCGCUGAAGCGGGCAGCCGACACCACGCCGUCUGGGCGAGUGAUUUUUGCCUCAGAUGAGGUAGGAGGACGUGGCGGUCGUAUGGAAGCGUAUGCGCAAGCGUGCGUGGAACGGCCGCCAGUGCAGAUCUUGGUGUUAGUAGCAAAUAUUCAAACGAGAACCUUGAAGGGCGAAGCGGGGAAGGGUUCCACGCGUACAUUGAUUGGGUGUGGGUAAGUCGUUCCUAAGCCGCGUGGCAAUAGCUAAUACAAAUGGCGAAAGGGAAGCAGGUUGACAUUCCUGCACACGGAUGUGGAGGCGGUGACGCACUUUCUGGGGUAAUGAAGCUGGCUGUGGCACUGGGCAGAGUUGUCUUUUCUGUUUAACCGCUCUCUCACUGUGUGGAAUCCGCUUGUCGGGAGAAACACGUGUUGACGGGCAUAGCGCCGGAGCUUUCCCGGCGUCCAGUUCGCUACGGACGGACCUUGAAAAAUUACCUGCUGGCACAGUCGGUUUUGAAUUUUUUUUAGAACGCAGAUCUGUGUAUGAAAAAUCCACGCCGUAACGUACCGAUAACCGCAUCAGGUCCCCAAGGUGAACAGCCUCUGCUCGAUAUGAUCAAUGCAGGUAAGGGAAGUCGGCAAAAUAGACCCGUAACUUUGGGAAAAGGGUUGGCUCUAGUGCUGUGUGGGACUGGUUGUUGAGGUGUCCGAGCUGCUCCUGUUGACUCUGCUGCGGAGCUGGCAAAGCUGGAGAAUUUGAAAAAGUUUUUCGGUGGCGCUCGCACUGAAGUGGGGCCUGACGGUCGAACGGUCUUGGCCCGCGACGACGCCCACGGCAUGCAGCAAACUAGAACUGCAACGGGCAAAGGGAAUCCGACUGUUUAAUUAAAACAAA